GGGUGUAUAGCUCAGUUGGUAGAGCAGCUGACUCUUAAUCAGCGGGUCCCAGGUUCGAGUCCUGGUACACCCACCA
rnacentral:tRNA from 2 species